rnacentral:rRNA from 1 species
GAUGAACGCUGGCGGCGCGCUUAACACAUGCAAGUCGAACGGAAAGGCCCAAGCUUGCUUGGGUACUCGAGUGGCGAACGGGUGAGUAACACGUGGGUGAUCUGCCCUGCACUUCGGGAUAAGCCUGGGAAACUGGGUCUAAUACCGGAUAGGACCACAUUUUGGAUGGUGUGGUGGAAAGUUUUUCGGUGUGGGAUGAGCUCGCGGCCUAUCAGCUUGUUGGUGGGGUAAUGGCCUACCAAGGCGUCGACGGGUAGCCGGCCUGAGAGGGUGUACGGCCACAUUGGGACUGAGAUACGGCCCAGACUCCUACGGGAGGCAGCAGUGGGGAAUAUUGCACAAUGGGCGCAAGCCUGAUGCAGCGACGCCGCGUGGGGGAUGACGGCCUUCGGGUUGUAAACUCCUUUCGCUAGGGACGAAGCGCAAGUGACGGUACCUGGAGAAGAAGCACCGGCUAACUACGUG